rnacentral:rRNA from 1 species
GAUGAACGCUGGCGGCGUGCCUAAUACAUGCAAGUCGAGCGAACAGACGAGGAGCUUGCUCCUCUGACGUUAGCGGCGGACGGGUGAGUAACACGUGGAUAACCUACCUAUAAGACUGGGAUAACUUCGGGAAACCGGAGCUAAUACCGGAUAAUAUAUUGAACCGCAUGGUUCAAUAGUGAAAGACGGUGUUGCUGUCACUUAUAGAUGGAUCCGCGCCGCAUUAGCUAGUUGGUAAGGUAACGGCUUACCAAGGCAACGAUGCGUAGCCGACGUGAGAGGGUGAUCGGCCACACUGGAACUGAGACACGGUCCAGACUCCUACGGGAGGCAGCAGUAGGGAAUCGUCCGCAAUGGGCGAAAGCUUGACGGAGCAACGCCGCGUGAGUGAUGAAGGUCUUCGGAUCGUAAAACUCUGUUAUUAGGGAAGAACAAAUGUGUAAGUAACUAUGCACGGCUUGACGGUACCUAGUCAGAAAGCCACGGCUAACUACGUG